GGACGAGCUUUCCAGGGCCCUUCCAGUCCCUGACACUGUGACUGUGUUUGUGGGACAGGUUCAGCAGCUCCUGCCAGCUGGGGUUGAGCUUUACAACCAGCGUUUCCCUGCAGCCAUGAUCCCAGAACCCCAGCCUGGUUGGGUUGAAGAGACCUCUGGAGAUCAUCCCAUCCAACCCAGCUGCUCACACAGGAGCUGUUGCUGGACAGAUGAUCCAAACAGUUGUGUAACUGCGAUGCUGUAUGCCAACGAGAGAGAAUGGAGCUCUCCAGGAGUUCUAAUGAAGCCUGGAUUUAAUGGACAAUUAAAAGACAUUUAAAAAUCCAGUAUGGUGUGAAUUAAAAGGAAGGAAGGUGGAAAUUUCCGCAAGAAGAGGUGGAUCUGCUGCUUGGCAAAAAAAGCUCAAACAAAAGCACGUUUAUAAAAAUACUGUUCUGAAGACCCGUCUCUGCAGUCUUCCUUUUCUAAACAACUGUCAGCUCUUUUUCUGCCCUCUCAUCCUUCAGGAUAUCGAUACAGACGGUGCUGAGCAGUGACGUCCCCGAAGGACAGCUGUCCCACUGCCGACACAGGCCAGCGUCACCUGAACAAAUACCUGCAGAUUUAUGCGACCUCAAAAUAUACAGGACUUGUUAACACCUCCCAAGUAUUGGUGAAUGUAGUGUACCGGUUUUAGCCCUUUAGAAAUCUCAGUGUGCUGUUCUAUCUCUUAAAAAUGAAUUUGUUUUAUUUUUAAAAUAUUAGAAUACCAAAUUAAAGAGAAACAGUGCUAAGCAGGAUGAAAUCUUCCCUCUGUCCUGAGAACCUUUUCUCAAAAGCAGCCAGUUCCUGAAACUUUCUCAGAAGUGGAAACCUCCUCAAAAUAUGUAUUAAUCUUUUUGGACUCCUCUCCCAUGUUGAUCUCCCUAUUGCCUGAAGCAUGAAAAUUGAUUAUCUUUAAUUUGAUUUUAGUUGGUGUUAUAACAGGUUUGAAUAGAGAAAGUGAAAUAUCCAGACAUUCGUAAACCCGCACGGCCUGGGUUGUGGCAGUGAGUCCACAAGUUGUCUGUUCACAAUAUCAAGAGUUUCUCUGCACUGGUUCUACCUGCACUGCGUUGUAACUCAAUUCAGUGUCAUAUACUCCUGGUAGCAAAUGAGGCGGAAAGGGUACUCCUCAUUCUUUUUCACUCUUAAUUACGACCAUCUUAUUCAAAUCCCCUCUAAUCCUUUUGCUGUCCAGAUUUUCAUCUUUGUUACUUUGAGGAGGCACCAUUGUAACAACUGAACUUCUUACUUUCCCCCUAAUUUAAUGACAAGAGCAAGACUGAGGAUACUGUUACUAUUACAAUUAUUAAUAGAUGUAUCUCUGAUCAAUGACAUUGGUGUCAACAGAACAUAUAUAUUUCUGUAUCUAUUUAUAUAGAUAUAUAUAUCUAUAUAUCUCCCCCUUUGCCAGACUAUUAAAUUAUCUAUGAGAGCCACUAAGUCUGAAAAUCCUCCCUAGGAGUCUCCAGCAUUCAGCUGUGACACAUCCAGUCCAGUUCACUCACACUAAAGCUUACGGUGAAAUUUUCACCACACUGAUGCUGUAAGAAGAUAGAAAUUUUCUAAAAUGGUUUUCAAGUCGUGUCCCAUGUCUUUGUUCUUCAUUCAAGGCAUUUUCUUUCGGUUCUUUGCUUUAUUUGUUAUUAAUUCUGUCAUGUAUAAGACAUUGUUCAUUUGAUGCGGUGUGUUCAGGUACGGGACGGUGUUUUCCCGGGACUGGAACAUCUGUCUGCAGUUGUGUGCAAAAUGCCCUUCUAGUGACAGAGAAUUCACCUCCACGUAAACCAAGGCUUAAACCAACACAUGAACCUCAGAGUAAAGAAUGUAAUGGGGUGAGAUGGAGAACUGAAAAAAACGGUUUUAUUACAGGCUUUGAGAUGUGAAUUCACAAAUAUUUCAGGCUGGAUUGAAUUCCUUGUUAAGGACUAACCUCUGAGAACAUCGACUUUCUGCAACAUCUGCUGUGGAAGAGACUUGGGCACCGGGGCUGUUCCGACCCUCUCGCUCGCUGCAGAGAAACAGAUGGAGUCUCGGGGAAGAUGUCAGAUUGGAAAUCGCUCUGAUUUGGACCUCACUUGUAGUUCUUUAAUUUUCCCCCAGAGAACGUCGUCAGGUUGGAGCACAGGCAGAAUAUAUUUUUGCCUUUGUGUGUAUGUGCUGGACUGAGCCAGAAUCUGGCCCCGAUCACUUCCUGUGCUCCGGUGACCUCUCGGCAUGAACCUCCUCAGCUGUGAAUCAGUGCAGUAACGUAACCUUGUAUUAUUUCACUUGAACAUGUGAAUAACUCUUGCUUUUCACAUUUCUAAUCACCAAGAAAAAAAAGAAAAAUAAAAGCUGAAUGAAACCAGAAACUCUGAUUUCGUUUGCCAAGACACUUGCGUUUUCUCAACAGCGGGGAUGUGUCCUCCAAAUUGAAAUCUGGAAAGUUCACGUCAAUACGGAGCGAGCUAUUUGAUCUGGGCAUGUUAUGUGCUUUAAUUGGCCCUGAAGGACAGCAUGUGUGUGUGUGGAUGGGAAAAGUACUCUGGAUCUGGUUUCAAAAUAGGUUUUUAAGAAUAAAAAGCAUAUCUUAUACCAUACUUUUGCUUGCUGCACAUUAUAGGAGUUUGUAUUUUAAUUGGUGCCAAAUGCUGAGAAGCACACCUGGGUCCCCGGGAGGUGGGUGAGCACAGGAGUGUGCCUGGGAACUUUAAAGAGUUAAAUGUUGAUGAUCUGGGAUAUGAUCUGUAGGUCAGAAAAGAGGUCUGGGGUGGUUCUGAAGAAGUGUGAUUUUCCGGGGCUCGUUCCUCAGUCUGGAUAGGAGCAGAUUGGAGGUUUGAAGCAACAUUUUUUGUAGCAAAAUACAGACACCGAUAAGAAUCAGUGGGGAUGGCACAUCAUCGCCACUGGCAACUGAGGUCACUGAAAAACGUCACUGCUUUACUAAAAGUAUCCUCCUCACAUCACAAUUCGAUCAGUCUGUGUCUCUGCAGUUCACCUCCACAAUUUGUGAAAUUUGGAGGAGCCGAGAUAAAGGUCUGCACGUUUUAAAUCGGCAUCGUCUUUGAAAUAAUGUGUAAUCCCUGCAAAUAAAG